AAAAAAAAAAAAAGGUGUUUAUGGUAGAAGGUGUUCUCACAGCUACUGACUCAGAGCCAUGAGCCUGUGUGUAAGUCCUGGCCUUCUCUUCAAAGGUGAUGGCCCGCUCCCUCUCCCCACCCCCGGAGCUGGAAGAAAGGGAUGUGGCCGCAUACUCGGCCUCCUUGGAGGAUGUGAAGACAGCCGUCCUGGGGCUUCUGGUCAUCCUUCAGACCAAGCUGUACACCCUGCCUGCAAGCCACGCCACGCGUGUGUAUGAGAUGCUGGUCAGCCACAUUCAGCUCCACUACAAGCACAGCUACACCCUGCCAAUCGCGAGCAGCAUCCGGCUGCAGGCCUUUGACUUCCUGUUGCUGCUGCGGGCCGACUCACUGCACCGCCUGGGCCUGCCCAACAAGGAUGGAGUCGUGCGGUUCAGCCCCUACUGCGUCUGCGACUACAUGGAGCCAGAGAGAGGCUCUGAGAAGAAGACCAGCGGCCCCCUUUCUCCUCCCACAGGGCCUCCUGGCCCGGCGCCUGCAGGCCCCGCCGUGCGGCUGGGGUCCGUGCCCUACUC
rnacentral:sRNA from 1 species